UACGGGGGGGGCAAGCGUUGUUCGGAAUUACUGGGCGUAAAGGGCUCGUAGGCGGCCAACUAAGUCAGACGUGAAAUCCCCAGGCUCAACCUGGGAACUGCGUCUGAUACUGGAUGGCUUGAAUUCGGGAGAGGGAUGCAGAAUUCCAGGUGUAGCGGUGAAAUGCGUAGAUAUCUGGAGGAAUACCGGUGGCGAAGGCGGCAUCCUGGACCGACAUUGACGCUGAUGAGCGAAAGCUAGGGGAGCAAACGGGAUGAGAUACCCCUGUAGUCC
rnacentral:rRNA from 1 species